GCUUAUUCUCAGGGCGGGGCGUAAUUCCCCACCGGCGGUAAACCAGUGUGUGCCAUCAGGCCGGCUGGAAGCCCGCGAGCGCUCAGGCUAUCGCCUGGGGUCAGCAGAUCCGGUGCAAUUCCGGGGCCGACGGUAAUAGUCCGGAUGGGAGAGAGUAACG
rnacentral:ncRNA from 2 species